GUGGCCACUGGAUCCCAUUAUUGAGUGCCCAUUAUGUUUACAGAUUCUCUCAUACUUGCCCAGGAUUACUCAAAGUUAGGGACUUUUCUUCUCACCUUGCAGGCAACUCAGUCUUAUCCAAAACCCAAUAGGGUCUAUGUCCUUUGGCCACAAGACAAUAGUAAUAUUACCAGGCCCAAACAUAUGAUUUGUUACAUUCUACAAAGUGCUUUCGUUGGUGGAUUGGUUGAUUCAUUGUUCAUUCAUUUAGACACAUGUUAAUUCAAGCAAUGGGUAAGGAGUACCUCCCAAGCAGUGGGAGCUGUCCUAGGUGCUGGGGAUACAGUUUAGUCUACUAAGGAGACAGAGAAGGACAUUAAGUACUUUGACUCUUGAAAGGCAAACAUUGAAGGAUGGAGCAUCACACUGCAGAGCCAGGAUGUGACAGGGAAUGACGGGCUCUUUCCAGUGGACACUCAUGAUUCAAUUUCAACAUAACCUCCUGGAAAGGCCUUUGGUCCCUCCGGUGUAAAGCAGAUCCCCCUUCAGAGGACUCGUUUAUCUAUCCACUUCCCGGCUGCUGGUUCUCCCCACUAGACUGCAGGUUCCAGGGGAUCAUAUAUCACUUUAUCCCAAGAGCCCAGCAGUGCUUAGCACAUAUUUCUUGAAUGAAUGAAAUGAAUGAAGGGUGGAUCUGCUUCACAGGGCAGUCAGGGAAGGUCACUCAGAGAAGGGAUAUUCACACUGAGGCAUGGGGGAUAAGAAAGACUCAGCCAUGCCAAAAUCAAGAGGCAGAUAGAACAGCUUGUCCAGGGACCACAAGAUGAAUGAACGGAGCCCACCAUGAUUGGAGCAUGAUGGAUAAGUUUCAUGGAGCCAUUGGAGGGGAGUGUGAAGU
rnacentral:lncRNA from 1 species